UUCUCUGUUCCUUUCAGGCACUGUCUUUGCAUAUGGUGUAACUAGCAGUGGGAAAACUCACACCAUGCAUGGAGAACAGAAGUCACCUGGAAUCAUUCCAUUGGCCGUGAAGGAUGUAUUCAGCAUUAUUCAAGAUACACCUGGACGAGAGUUUCUUCUGCGAGUUUCGUAUCUUGAAAUUUACAAUGAGGUGAC